ensembl:lncRNA
GGGGUGGUGCUGGAGGUGAGGAAUAUGAAGUUGAGAAAGGGGUGGUGCUGGAGGUGAGGAAUAUGAAGUUGAGAAAGGGGUGGUGCUGGAGGUGAGGAAUAUGAAGUUGAGAAAGGGGUGGUGCUGGAGAUGAGGGAUAUGAAGUUGAGAAAGGGGGGGUGGUGAGGUGAGGAAUAUGAAGUUGAGAAAGGGUGGUGCUGGAGGUGAGGGAUAUGAAGUUGAGAAAGGGGUGGUGCUGGAGAUGAGGAAUAUGAAGUUGAGAAAAGGGGUGGUGCUGGAGAUGAGGAAUAUGAAGUUGAGAAAGGGGUGGUGCUGGAGGUGAGGAAUAUGAAGUUGAGAAAGGGGUGGUGCUGGAGGUGAGGAAUAUGAAGUUGAGAAAGGGGUGGUGCUGGAGGUGAGGGAUAUGAAGUUGAGAAAGGGGUGGUGCUGGAGGUGAGGGAUAUGAAGUUGAGAAAGGGGGAAAUGUCCUUUUAAUAUAUUGAUUUUGAACAACACCUGGAUACCUUGGCUUGAAGACAGACUGACUAAAUUAAACCCAAUCUAGGAUUUUACCUAAAUCUUUCAGUCUUUUCAAAUAUUUUAUAGAAAAAUGAAAGCUAAACGUUUGCUGUGAUUCAUAACAUUUUGCUCGAUGAAAUUCAACAGUAAUUCAUGUCUAGAGACCAAUUAGUUUGAUGUGUUCUGAGCGUGUGAGGAUGUGUUGUCGUCUGUUUGACUAUGGUCUAUAACGGCUUGUUGCCCACUAGUCCCAGCAGCCUCUGGAAGACCUGGAUGCCCAGCUGAGGAGGGCCCUGAGCCCAGAGACGGUCUCUGUCAGCUGUGUCACCACACAGGUACCAUAACCACACACACAUGCCCCCUUCAGGCCUGGACGAAUGACA